GCGGUUGAUGAUAUAUUUUUAACCCUGACUUCCAAAAACCAUGGAGAUCAAAAAUAUGCAACAUACUCUAAUUUUUUCCUGACG
rnacentral:snoRNA from 1 species